rnacentral:rRNA from 1 species
UACGUAGGGUGCGAGCGUUAAUCGGAAUUACUGGGCGUAAAGCGCACGUAGGCGGGCUUGUAAGUAGAGGGUGAAAUCCCAGGGCUCAACCCUGGAACUGCCUUCUAGACUGCAAGCCUGGAGGUCAGGAGAGGCGAGUGGAAUACCGAGUGUAGAGGUGAAAUUCGUAGAUAUUCGGUGGAACACCAGUGGCGAAGGCGACUCGCUGGACUGAUACUGACGCUGAGGUGCGAAAGCGUGGGGAGCAAACAGG